UGCAGCAGUCACCGACAUAAUCACAAUCAUCUAAUGGGCACUUUGGGUUCUUUCCAGAGUUUCUCUUCUCUCUCCCUGGCUGUUAAUGUGCAGGAGAGAGCAAGCCAACGCGCAGAUGAGGCCAAGGGGAACUGGCUCGGCAGCCCCGUUUGUGCGGCGGGGAAGCAGGAGGACGAACUGGUGACCUGCAGCCGUUCCUUCCACCUCACUCUUCUGGAAUCCCAGCUGGCCUUCUGCAGAAGCUCUCCUGGGUCACACUGACCUUGAACUUGGUCCUGGUUCCACAAGACUUCGGGUCGGCUAAGUCUCCAGAGCUCCUGGGCAUUUCCUGUGAAGCCUACUUGACAGGACCUGAGGAUCCUCACCUCUGCCUUCAAUUCAGGCACCAGCUCCGGAAGAUUCUUCUUAAAAAUGUAAAUGUUAUUAUUAAUAUGCCAACUGGGAGGAGUAAUGAGGAAGUAUUACCACACGUUCAUUUCAUCUGUACCAGACGAACAAGUCGAAUCCCUGAGGAGAAGGGAACCAGGACACAAGGUAUAGGAAUGAGGAAGGGGAAGGAAGUAUUGCAGACAGAGGUUUUUAUUGCAGAACUUUGCCUCAGGUGACACCGUCAGGAAGAUUCUCUCUGGAAAGGAGCACCCCAGGCUCACGUCGCCAUCUGCCUCCGCUUUCCCUGGCUCUCUGAGGGGGGCUGCCUCUGCUGGCCCUCCCCUCCCCUUCAGGGAUGCUGAUCCGGAAGCCAAACCAUCUCUGCACACCGUGGACACAUGCCUUUUUGCCUUAGAUCAGUUGUUACAAGCUUGAAAUUCUUCAAAGGAAUUCUUAAAACCUAAGAGGAGAAAAGCAAAAUGGGAAAUCAGAAAACACAGACAACUAUUUUAUCCUAAUUCAGUGCAUCUCUUUCUACAGUUUAGAUCAUGAACUCUGCCACUCCCCCAGCCUCUUUUCUUCCUCUCAUGGGGGAAGGGAGAUCCCAAAAAAUUACCUGACUGGAGAGGGAAAAAUAAAGUUUAUUAUGGAGAACUUUAGUAUCAAGAAGAGGAAAUUAGAUGGGUUGCCUUCAGAAGUGAAAAAUCAUUGAAAAUUCCAGAGCCAAGACAUGACAAAGAUAGUAGGCAUUUAAAGAAAGCCUGGGAGAAUUAAAGUCUUGGAGAGCUGGAUUUGGGACCUCUUAACUAGCUAUGAAUAUGU